AUAUCUUUCUUAGUCUUUUGGCUAAGAUAAAGUGUAAUAUUUGUUAUUAUCAGUUUAAUAUAUGAUAUAUGGACCAUAGGAUCAUUUUGAUAUUAACUUUUUUUAUUGGUAUCAAAUAUGAUUAUGUGCUGUUGCAGCGCACAUGCAUUAUACUAGUA
rnacentral:snRNA from 1 species